CCUACGGGUGGCAGCAGUGGGGAAUAUUGGACAAUGGGGGCCACCCUGAUCCAGCCAUGCCGCGUGUGUGAAGAAGGCCCUCGGGUUGUAAAGCACUUUCAGUGAGGAAGAACGCCUGGUGGUUAAUACCCAUCAGGAAAGACAUCACUCACAGAAGAAGCACCGGCUAACUCCGUGCCAGCAGCCGCGGUAAUACGGAGGGUGCGAGCGUUAAUCGGAAUUACUGGGCGUAAAGCGCGCGUAGGUGGCUUGAUAAGCCGGUUGUGAAAGCCCCGGGCUCAACCUGGGAACGGCAUCCGGAACUGUCAAGCUAGAGUGCAGGAGAGGAAGGUAGAAUUCCCGGUGUAGCGGUGAAAUGCGUAGAGAUCGGGAGGAAUACCAGUGGCGAAGGCGGCCUUCUGGACUGACACUGACACUGAGGUGCGAAAGCGUGGGUAGCAAACAGGAUUAGAUACCCUGGUAGUC
rnacentral:rRNA from 1 species